rnacentral:sRNA from 1 species
UCGGGGGGUUGAAUAUCUCGAAUGUGAGU